CAACUACUCCCUCUGUCCCAAAUUUCUUGUCUUAGAUUUGUCUAGAUACGGAUGUAUCUAAUACUAAAAUGUGACUUGAUACAUCCGUAUCUAGACAAAUCAAAGACAAGAAUUUUGGGAUGGAGGGAGUACUUU
rnacentral:pre_miRNA from 1 species